rnacentral:misc_RNA from 1 species
UAAAUAAGCAAGAAAAUAUUUUCAUUGGUUUGUCCCUAGUGCUACGUAAUCAAUGAGCUUCUAAAUAUGAUAUCAAACAAAAGAGGAUGAGCUCUCAUCGCAGUUCACAACCAUCAGCUGCAGUGCCUUUCGAAUGGCUUAUAAACACUCCAUAAGCAAAAGCUGGCCCAUAUUUUGGAGUCAUCCAAAUCAACCACAAAAUCCAAAUAAUUAUGAGAGAAGCUUUUGGCCGACACUAAAACAGACCUGAUUGAAACAAAGAAACUAUCCUAUUCUAUUUCUGUUCUAUUCAUUGCCAAGCCAAAAUAAUUGAAAGUAAAUCACUGGCAAGCCAACGAUUCAUCAACGAGUCCUUAUCAAUUUCCACCGCCACCUCUCCUCUACCAACCUCCAAUCGUUCAGAACUCAAGGGAAAAAACACAACGCCUAAAUAAAACAGUGAAAACAAAUAAGGUUUUUAUUUUUAUUCAUGAAUAAAAGUAACGAUCUGUCAACCAAACUGAAACAUAAAUUUGGUGAUUAAACGUCAAUUGAAA